UACGGGGGGGGCAAGCGUUGUUCGGAAUUACUGGGCGUAAAGGGCUCGUAGGCGGCCAACUAAGUCAGACGUGAAAUCCCUCGGCUUAACCGGGGAACUGCGUCUGAUACUGGAUGGCUUGAGUGUGGGAGAGGGAUGCGGAAUUCCAGGUGUAGCGGUGAAAUGCGUAGAUAUCUGGAGGAACACCGGUGGCGAAGGCGGCAUCCUGGACCAUUACUGACACUGAAUAGCGAAAGCCAGGGGAGCAAACGGG
rnacentral:rRNA from 1 species